AUUGAACGCUGGCGGCAUGCUUUACACAUGCAAGUCGAACGGUAACAGGCCUUCGGGUGCUGACGAGUGGCGAACGGGUGAGUAAUGCAUCGGAACGAACCCAGAGGUGGGGGAUAACGCAGCGAAAGCUGUGCUAAUACCGCAUGUGAUCUGAGGAUGAAAGCGGGGGACCGAGCAGCAAUGUUUGGCCUCGCGCCUUUGGAGCGGCCGAUGUCGGAUUAGCUAGUUGGUGGGGUAAAGGCCUACCAAGGCGACGAUCCGUAGCUGGUCUGAGAGGACGACCAGCCACACUGGGACUGGGACACGGCCCAGACUCCUACGGGAGGCAGCAGUGGGGAAUUUUGGACAAUGGGCGCAAGCCUGAUCCAGCAAUGCCGCGUGCGGGAAGAAGGCCUUCGGGUUGUAAACCGCUUUUGGCAGGAACGAAACGGUGUCCGCUAAUACCGGGCGCUAAUGACGGUACCUGCAGAAUAAGCACCGGCUAACUACGUG
rnacentral:rRNA from 1 species